GGAUAAGUUAAGAGAGGGAUUAGUUAUUUUUCUUUUCCCUCAAAAUUCCUCCUCUCGCACGCGGCGACGGCGUCGGCUCCUGCUUGGGUGAAAUCGUAGCCGAAGCUAGGGCUCUUCCUCCGGCGGUCGGCGAGGGGUUUUUUCGAGAGCUUCUCACAUCUUCGGGACCGUCUCACCAAGGAGAACAAGUAGAUAGGGAGGGAUCGUUGAGAAAGCGUGUCCACCCGAAACCCUAGAGCAGUGGAAGCCUUCUUCUUUGGUUGUAAGUCCAAGAAACCCAAGAUACAGGAAAAGAAAAGUGUUAGCAAAGGAAGGCGACAAGGAGGUGCGGAUGGAUGUGUGAUGCCAGGACUAUGGAGAGACCUGGGAAGUUUUGAGUUUCCAUGUUUAGUGGAUAGAAAUAGUUGAGUUAUACCUUAGGGUUUAUGUCUUUUCAGAUUGUAUUUUCAUUCCGCAUUGUUAGUUUGGUUAUUUUCCACUGCUGGAGUUUUAUUCAUUUGUUAUUGCUAGAAUAGUUUAUUUUUUUUA